UCGUCCAGGGAAAGGUUCAUGGCUUGGUAAAGGCAACUUGGAUACAGGACCAGACCAAUCCAGUAUGUCAUUAGAAAAUCUUGUGUUUGGAGCUGGCUACUGCAAACCCACUUCAUCAGAGGGAAGUUUUUAUGUCCCAUCUGAAAACUGCAUGCAACAUGCAUAUAAAUGGCAUAAGGAUCUCUGUCUUCUGCUCUUGAUGCUCAAAGAGGACUUCACGUGUACUACACCCUCAUAAUGAAGGAGGUUCCUGAUUUACCACAGCUGAAGUUGGAGGAACUACCUGUGGAAGAUACGUUAUCUCAGUUCUGUGCAGAGCUGCAGGUAUUGUCUUUAACAGAAUCAGUUGGUGCUUUUUUUCAAGU